rnacentral:rRNA from 1 species
UACGGAGGGUGCAAACGUUGCUCGGAAUCAUUGGGCGUAAAGCGCACGUAGGCGGACUGGCAAGUUGGGUGUGAAAUCCCUCAGCUUAACUGAGGACGUGCAUUCAAAACUGCCAGCCUUGAGUACGAAAGAGGAUCGCGGAAUUCCCGGUGUAGAGGUGAAAUUCGUAGAUAUCGGGAGGAACACCAGUGGCGAAGGCGACUACCUGGCCUGUUCUUGACGCUGAGGCGCGAAAGCUAGGGGAGCAAACGGG